GCCAGGCAUGGUGGCGCAUGCCUGUAAUCUCAGCAGCUUGGGAGGCUGAGUCAGUAGGAUGGCGAGUUCAAAGCCAGCCUCAGCAACUGCAAAGCACUAAGCAACUCAGUGAGACCCUGUCUCUA
rnacentral:sRNA from 1 species